CCCAGUGCCCCCAGUCUCACCCCGUGCAGCAGCCGCAGGUUCCCGCUCACCUCCCCCUGGGGGGGGCCAGAGCCGAGACGCGGCACCGCCGCCAGCGCCCGCAGCUCCAGCAACACCUGGACACGGGGACAGCGUCACCAUCACCGUCACCGUCACCAUCACCGUCACCAUCACCAUCACCAUCACCAAGACUGUCACCGUCACCAUCACCGUCACCAUCACCGGCACCAACACCAGCACCGUCACCAUCACCAAGACUGUCACCAUCACCAUGACCGUCACCAUCACCGGCACCAACACCGUCACCAUCACUGUCACCAUCACCGUCACCAUCACCGUCACCAUCACUGUCACCAUCACCGUCACCAGCACCGUCACCAUCACCGGCACCAGCACCGUCACCAUCACCGUCACCAUCACCGUCACCAUCACCGGCACCAGCACCGUCACCAUCACCGUCACCAUCACCAAGACUGUCACCGUCACCAUCACCGUCACCAUCACCGUCACCAUCACCGUCACCAUCACCGUCACCAUCACUGUCACCAUCACCGUCACCAUCACCGUCACCAUCACCGUCACCAUCACUGUCACCAUCACCGUCACCAUCACCGUCACCAUCACCAAGACUGUCACCGUCACCAGCACCGUCACCAUCACCGUCACCAUCACCGGCACCAGCACCGUCACCAGCACCGUCACCAUCACCAAGACUGUCACCGUCACCAUCACCGUCACCAUCACCGUCACCAUCACUGGCACCAACACCGUCACCAUCACCGUCACCAGCACCGUCACCAUCACCGUCACCAUCACCAAGACUGUCACCGUCACCGUCACCGUCACCAUCACCGGCACCAGCACCGGCACCAGCACCGGCACCAGCACCGUCACUGUCACCAAUUCUUGUUGCCAUGGACACCGCCGUUGUCACCAUCACUGCUUGUCACCAUCACUAUCACAGCUACAACCGCUGUCACCGUCACUGUCACCCAGUGUCAGCUCCCAGUGUCA
rnacentral:lncRNA from 1 species